GAUGAACGCUGGCGGCGUGCCUAAUACAUGCAAGUCGAGCGAAUGGAUUAAGAGCUUGCUCUUAUGAAGCUAGCGGCGGACGGGUGAGUAACACGUGGGUAACCUGCCCAUAAGACUGGGAUAACUCCGGGAAACCGGGGCUAAUACCGGAUAACAUUUUGAACCGCAUGGUUCGAAAUUGAAAGGCGGCUUCGGCUGUCACUUAUGGAUGGACCCGCGUCGCAUUAGCUAGUUGGUGAGGUAACGGCUCACCAAGGCAACGAUGCGUAGCCGACCUGAGAGGGCGAUCGGCCACACUGGGACUGAAACACGGCCCAGACUCCUGCGGGAGGCAGCAGUAGGGAAUCUUCCGCAAUGGACGAAAGUCUGACGGAGCAACGCCGCGUGAGUGAUGAAGGCUUUCGGGUCGUAAAACUCUGUUGUUAGGGAAGAACAAGUGCUAGUUGAAUAAGCUGGCACCUUGACGGUACCUAACCAGAAAGCCACGGCUAACUACGUGCCAGCAGCCGCGGUAA
rnacentral:rRNA from 1 species